rnacentral:rRNA from 1 species
CCUACGGGGGGCAGCAGUGAGGAAUAUUGGUCAAUGGACGCAAGUCUGAACCAGCCAUGCCGCGUGCAGGAAGACGGCUCUAUGAGUUGUAAACUGCUUUUGUACGAGGGUAAACGCAGAUACGCGUAUCUGUCUGAAAGUAUCGUACGAAUAAGGAUCGGCUAACUCCGUGCCAGCAGCCGCGGUAAUACGGAGGAUUCAAGCGUUAUCCGGAUUUAUUGGGUUUAAAGGGUGCGUAGGCGGUCGGAUAAGUUAGAGGUGAAAUCCCGAGGCUCAACUUCGGAAUUGCCUCUGAUACUGUUCGGCUAGAGAGUAGUUGCGGUAGGCGGAAUGUAUGGUGUAGCUGUGAAAUGCUUAGAGAUCAUACAGAACACCGAUUGCGAAGGCAGCUUACCAAGCUACUUCUGACGUUGAGGCACGAAAGCGUGGGGAGCAAACAGGAUUAGAUACCCUUGUAGUC